GAUUAGAGAUCAGGAUUAAAGAAGAAUCUUGAGAUGUCAUCAAAACAGAAGUAACCACUGAGAAGAAAGAGAGCAGGAAGUAAGAACUGCGACUGGAGAAAUGCCCACAACUACAGAGAAAGCUGGGAAGAGGAGCCGCUGUGUGAACAAUUGGACAGGGAUGGAGCCCUGCAGCCGUGUACUAUACCUCUUGGCCAGAGCUAUUUGAACUAUGAAUGAACACUCUCUCCAGUGGAUUUAUAAUUAGGAGACAGAGGCCAGCAAGACCCUGCUGGAGUUACCCAACUCAGCUACAGAGAGACCCGAAGCCCAGAUUAUAAAUCAUUCUUAUUAAACCAAAGGCAUUUCAGUGGAAAGUUGGGCACUCUAGCCAGGGAGAUAACUCACCCUAAAUGCUCUUAAGGCAGAGGGGUCUGGAUCACCUUCACCCUAAAA